rnacentral:rRNA from 1 species
AUUGAACGCUGGCGGAAUGCUUUACACAUGCAAGUCGAGCGGCAGCACGGGGGCAACCCUGGUGGCGAGCGGCGAACGGGUGAGUAAUACAUCGGAACAUGCCCAGUCGUGGGGGAUAACACUUCGAAAGAAGUGCUAAUACCGCAUACGUCCUGAGGGAGAAAGCGGGGGAUCGCAAGACCUCGCGCGAUUGGAGUGGCCGAUGUCAGAUUAGCUAGUUGGUGGGGUAAAGGCCUACCAAGGCAACGAUCUGUAGCUGGUCUGAGAGGAUGAUCAGCCACACUGGGACUGAGACACGGCCCAGACUCCUACGGGAGGCAGCAGUGGGGAAUUUUGGACAAUGGGGGCAACCCUGAUCCAGCCAUUCCGCGUGAGUGAAGAAGGCCUUCGGGUUGUAAAGCUCUUUCGGCAGGAACGAAACGGUGAGCUCUAACAUAGCUCGCUAAUGACGGUACCUGAAGAAGAAGCACCGGCUAACUACGU